rnacentral:lncRNA from 1 species
AAAAAAAAUAAUAACCCAAAAUCUUAUCCCUUUUUUUCUCCCACACUUACUCACCACUUAUACCUAAUUAACCCAAAACCCCUUACUUUUCAUUCAUGAAUCAUUCCAUCCUCCUUCUUUGUUAACCCAAAUACACUUCCUCCCUCAUCGACCCCCCCACCCAGAAAUGCAAAUUCAUUUCAUCUUGAGCUUUUCGGUGAAAUUUCGGUUCUUGAGCUUCCCGUGAAUCUCCCUCUUCCAGGUAACAAAUUUAAUCAAUUAACCUUUCAAUCUCCUUUGAUUUUUGUCGAUUCAAUGAUUUUCCUUUACCAUUUUCUUAUUUAUUUCUUGUUUGUGAAUCUGAAAAUUCUGGUUGAGAAGCCAUUUUUAGUGAUCUACUAUGUUUCGUUGAUCUACAAUUAUUUUCAGUAAAAAAAAAAGGCUUAAUUACUCUUUUGGUCCCUUAACUUAUUUUUUGGUUUCGUUUUGGUUCCUUAACUAUUAAAAGUUUCGUUUCGGUCCCAUAACUUAUUUUUGGGUUUUCUUUUGGUCCCUUAACUAUUAAAAGUUUUGUUUUGGUCCCUUAACUUAUUUUUUAGUUUCGUUUUGGUCCCUUAACUUAUUUUUUGGUUUCAUUUUGGUCCCUUAACUCUAAUACAUUCAUCCUAACAUAAAGGACCAAAGUGGUUGACGGAGGAAGAGUUAAGGGACCAAAAUGAAACCAAAAAGUAAGUUAAAUGACCAAAACGAAACUUUUGAUAGUUAAGGGACCAAAACGAAACCGAAAUAAUGGAUAAAUGGAUAGUUAAAUGACCAACACUGUUUUUAAUCUUUUUAUGAUAAAGAUGGUUGUUUCAGUGUUUUAAAUAAUGGAUAAAUGAGUAUGCAAUUUCACUUUUUAUUGUUUUUAUUUUGAUUUGAAUUGAAAUUUGGAGCAUCAUGAAAUAACCCGUGGGAGUUAGAAAGAUUUGAUUUUGAAUUGUUUUUAAUAAAGGUGGAUUGAAUGCUUUAAUGGAGCCAGAGCUUGAUCUGGAUUUGUGAAAUCAGUAUCUUUAUAAAGUAAGAUUUGUGGUGGAAUCUGAAUGUUCUGUGUUUGUUAGAUUUGUAUAAAUAAUACUAUAGAAUGAUUUGGAAUGGAACUUUUAUAUAACUAUUUUUGUAAAUAAUACUCUAGAUUGAUUGCGGUUGAGUUUGAAUGUUAGGUGUUUGUUAAAUUGGUCUGGUUUAUGUUACAAUGUUACAUGUUAAGAGAGUUUUGAAGUCUAAGAAAUUUUUUAUGUGCCUUACCUUGGCUGCAUCUCAUGUACAAUUAUCCAGUAGCUUCUUGUGUGGAAAAUGUAAUUGAAGAAACUAGCUUCUUGUGAUGGUGUUCUAUUUUCAGUCAUUGAUUCUUUAGUAAACAUUUGGUUUUCAUACUGCUAUUGUUGGAUGUGACUGUCUGCUAUUGUUCUGUCUAAGAUGAAAAAAAGGAAUUCUGACCCGCAGUCAACUUUACUGGUUCAGUAAUUCACAAUUUUGACAAUUAGGAUGUCUGAACUGGGUUUCGAGACCAACAUGAGACUUGUAGAUCUUCAUCUCAGCUUUCCGACGAGUAUUCGUAUGCUUCAUUCCAAUUAUCGCAGCCCAGGUUAUGGUCUGAAAAGCAAGCAAGGGUAAAUAUGCUAAUAAUUCAUAAAAUUAAUCAAAGAAACACAUUAGAGCUCAAACUUGACCCGAAGUUUAGAAACAAGCUAAGAAGCUAAAAUUAGAAGAAAAGUCCAAUUUACUGGUAUGUUGUCUUCUGCUAAAGCUCAUGAUAUCUCUAAAUGUCUUCUUGUUUCCAUGUCUU